GGUAAGAUGGCCGAGUAGGCAUUAGACUGUAAAUCUAAAGACAGAGGUGAGAGAGCCCUCUUUUUACCA
rfam:Camelus ferus unplaced genomic scaffold scaffold790, whole genome shotgun sequence.